GACGAACGCUGGCGGCGUGCUUAACACAUGCAAGUCGAACGGAAAGGCCUCUUUCGGGGGGUACUCGAGUGGCGAACGGGUGAGUAACACGUGAGUAACCUGCCCUUGACUUUGGGAUAACUUCAGGAAACUGGGGCUAAUACCGGAUAGGAGCUCCUGCUGCAUGGUGGGGGUUGGAAAGUUUCGGCGGUUGGGGAUGGACUCGCGACUUAUCAGCUUGUUGGUGGGGUAGUGGCUUACCAAGGCUUUGACGGGUAGCCGGCCUGAGAGGGUGACCGGCCACAUUGGGACUGAGAUACGGCCCAGACUCCUACGGGAGGCAGCAGUGGGGAAUAUUGCACAAUGGGUGGAAGCCUGAUGCAGCAACGCCGUGUGCGGGAUGACGGCCUUCGGGUUGUAAACCGCUUUCGCUCAUGACGAAGCUUUGUGUGACGGUAGUGGGUAAAGAAGCACCGGCUAACUACGUG
rnacentral:rRNA from 1 species